rnacentral:tRNA from 1 species
GGGUGGUUAGUUCAGGGGGAGAACGCCUGCUUGACGCGCAGGAGGUCACUGGUUCAAAUCCAGUACCACCCA